AGACGAUGCCACCCACGCACCAUCGAUGCCCUGCAGCUGACUGCUUCGGCGUUCUUCCACGCGAGCGAGCAGAGGCACCCCAUGGCGCCUCCUCCUCUCCUUCUCUUGGCGCGCGAAGACCUCGACGGAGCCACCUCCAUCGCGUCAUCGAUCUGGCCGCCGCCUCACCUGCGGCUCGAUCUUAUCUGGGAGAGAUGGUGAGGGGUGGGGGUGGCGGAGUAAGGGGAGCCGGAGAGGAAGAUCCGGUGCAGGACUCCCACGCUGCAGACUUGAGGCACCCAACCACGGCCACGUCGACGACUCUGCCUCCUGAAGGAUGACAUCCACCACCUCCCUCCCUGCCGCCCAGAAGUGACGAGGUUGCCGCCUCUCGGCAACUUUCUGUGCUCUCGCAGAAAUUCCCCUUCAGAUAGUGGAGCGCCGUCGCUCCCAUAGUCUUCAGCAUCAGGGCUCCUGAUUCCAUGGCGUGCCUUAGUCUUUUGGCGGGCAUAUUUAAAGUUGAGGGAUCUUUUAUUCCAUUUCAAUUUUCUUUGGAAAUCUUCUGCCGGCUCAAGUGCUCAUGUCAAGGAAUAUAGCUGUAUUUUUCUUGGAUUUUUCAUUUGCCUUGCAAUGCUAAUGGAGAAAAGGCAACAAAAACUAUUCGAGGGAGAGAUUGUUAACGAAUAGAUCAACAAACUAUUUGUCAUGGAAAUUGCUAUUUGGAGA